AACACAUGCAAGUCGAGCGGUAACAGGUGUAGCAAUACAUGCUGACGAGCGGCGAACGGGUGAGUAAUGCUUCGGAAUCUGCCCAAUGGUGGGGAAUAACCAGCCGAAAGGUUGGCUAAUACCGCGUAAGCCCUACGGGGGAAAGCAGGGGAUCGCAAGACCUUGCGCCGAUGGAUGAGCCGAAGUCGGAUUAGCUAGUUGGUAGGGUAACGGCCUACCAAGGCGACGAUCCGUAGCUGGUCUGAGAGGACGACCAGCCACACUGGGACUGAGACACGGCCCAGACUCCUACGGGAGGCAGCAGUGGGGAAUAUUGGACAAUGGGGGAAACCCUGAUCCAGCGACGCCGCGUGUGUGAAGAAGGCCUGCGGGUUGUAAAGCACUUUUAGUGGGGAUGAAAAGCUCAGGGCUAACACCUCUGGGUCUUGACCUAACCCACAGAAAAAGCACCGGCUAACUCUGUGCCAGCAGCCGCGGUAAUAUAGAGGGUGCGAGCGUUAAUCGGAAUUACUGCGCGUAAAGCGUGCGUAGACGGUUACGUAAGUCGGGUGUGAAAGCCCCGGGCUCA
rnacentral:rRNA from 1 species